rnacentral:rRNA from 1 species
UACCAGCACCCCGAGUGGUCGGGACGAUUAUUGGGCCUAAAGCAUCCGUAGCCGGUUUUACAAGUCCUCCGUUAAAUCCAGCUGCUUAACAGAUGGGCUGCGGAGGAUACUAUAAGACUAGGAGGCAGGAGAGGCAAGCGGUACUCAGUGGGUAGGGGUAAAAUCCGUUGAUCCAUUGAAGACCACCAGUGGCGAAGGCGGCUUGGCCAGAAUGCGCUCGACGGUGAGGGAUGAAAGCUGGGGGAGCAAACCGG